AGGGUGCGGUCGGCCAGCUCCACGUCCAUGGUCACCAGGCCCAGCGUGUGCUUCCAGCUGAGGGUCCGCAUGGCCUGUAGAGGUCUGGGCCUCCAGAACUGAAAUGAUGUAUUUGUGUCAUUUUACAACACUGUCACAGCAGCCACAAGAAGUGAACAGAUUUUGGUGCCAGGAAGGGGAACUGCUGUGACGUAGCAGCAGCAGUCCUGGAACUGAGCAACGGGCAGAAGCUUGACGAAUUUCAAGAUGACGCCGAUGAAAAGCCAGACUGCCGCGGGGAGAGCGCUGUGGAAAACAGGCGGUGGAGGUGCUCUGGGGAGGGCUCAGGCCACUCGGCGUCACACUCAGAGCAUUAGUGGAAACACGGACAUCACAGGUGAGUCUCAGGUGGAGACGACGAAGGAGUUGCUGUGAACUGGAGGAAAGUGGCAGGAAACACAGCCGAUGGCGUCACGUUGGGUGGCGAGCAGAGCUUGCGAGUGACGAGCAGAACUUGCGAGUGACGAACUUGGAUGUACAGCUGAGAUGCCCAGGCCACGUGUGGAGACGUGGCCUGGCCCCUCCCGGCUCACGGCAGGACGGGAGAGAAAGCAGCUGCCGAGCAAGGAGGAACCGAGGCUUCGUUCGGAAAAUGCUCAGCCUGUCCGGGCAGCUCUGCGGACGUGGCCAAGGGUGUGGCCAAAGAGGUGUGUGGCUGGGUCCGAGCACCUCAGAAGCCAGGAACAGGCGGGGUCUCCAGGGAAGGUCUGUGCAGGACCCUCUCACCUGACCGGGACACCCGUGAGCCGCACGGGAAGCCAAAAAGGUUUUUGAGAAUUUUAUGCCAGCAGAAACGCUGGACUGAGAGGGAGGGGGACAAGACGGAAGGAAGGAAGGGUGACUCCGAGAGCAGAGCCAUAGAAGCAGAGGCCUGGGCUGCGGGGCGGCUGCCCUGCAGGGACAGAGCCGGAGCUUGUCAUCGGGCCGCGAAUGUAACGGACGCUGGGUGGGGACCUGCCUGGAACCCGGGACCUUUUCUUCCUUUCCAGCCUCUCCCUGCUGCAGCGGAAAUGUCCAUCCCACACUCGUCUCACCGUUGCAUUUUCCCCGCCGCUCCAUUUUCGAGACGUAAUUUGUUGUCUGAUUUCACAGGUUCACAGCUGGAGAGGAGUUUUGCCCCAAGUCCCAUCCACACCUGAUUUAGAUGCCAUUUAGAUGCUGAGAUUUGGGGCCCUGUGCUGCUGAUAUUUAGAUGAGAUUUUGGACUUAGAGUUGAUGCUGAAAUGGUUAAGGCUUCGGGGGAUGCUGAGAUAGGGUGAAAGUAUUAAUAUUUCACAUGUGAGAGCAAUACGAAUUUAGGGGUGCAGGGCAGAUUGUUAUGGGUUGAAUUAUGCACCCUCCAAAAGAUAUGUUACAUUCCUACCA